rnacentral:rRNA from 1 species
AUUGAACGCUGGCGGCAGGCCUAACACAUGCAAGUCGAGCGAGCGGCGGACGGGUGAGUAAUGUAUGGGGACUGCCCGAUAGAGGGGGAUAACUACUGGAAACGGUGGCUAAUACCGCAUACUGUCGGAUAACCCAUAUGGGAUUAGCUAGUAGGUAAGGUAAUGGCUUACCUAGGCGACGAUCCCUAGCUGGUCUGAGAGGAUGAUCAGCCACACGGGGACGGCGACACGGCCCAGACUCCUACGGAGGCAGAAGUAGGGAAUAUUCGGCAAUGGAGGAAAGUCUGACCGAGCAACGCCGCGUGAGUGAAGAAGGUUUUCGGGUUGUAAACCGCUGUCGCUAUCGAACGGGUAGGUGGAGAAGAAGCGCCGGCUAACUACGUGCCAGCAGCCGCGGUAAUAC